CCCUUAGAUGUCCGGGGCCGCACGCGCGCUACACUGAAUAGCGUAACGAGUUUCUCUCCUGAUCCGCAAGGGUUGGGCAACCUGUUGAAACCUAUUCGUGACAGGGAUCGGGGCUUGUAAUUAUUCCCCGUGAACGAGGAAUUCCUAGUAAGCGCAAGUCGUAAACUUGCGUUGAUUACGUCCCUGCCUUUUGUACACACCGCCCGUCGCUACUACCGAUUGAAUGGUUUAGCAAGGUCUUCGGAUUGGCGCCUGACAGUUUCGACUGUCUUGUGUCCGAGAAGAUGAUCAAACUUGAUCAUUUAGAGGAAGUAAAAGUCGUAACA
rnacentral:rRNA from 1 species